rnacentral:rRNA from 1 species
GCAGUCGCCGCGGGAAUACAGAGGGUGCGAGCGUUAAUCGGAUUUACUGGGCGUAAAGCGUGCGUAGGCGGCUUUUUAAGUCGGAUGUGAAAUCCCUGAGCUUAACUUAGGAAUUGCAUUCGAUACUGGGAAGCUAGAGUAUGGGAGAGGAUGGUAGAAUUCCAGGUGUAGCGGUGAAAUGCGUAGAGAUCUGGAGGAAUACCGAUGGCGAAGGCAGCAAUCUGGCCUAAUACUGACGCUGAGGUACGAAAGCAUGGGGAGCAAACAGGAUUAGAUACCCGAGUAGUCCCUGUCUCUUAUAC